rnacentral:rRNA from 1 species
GACGAACGCUGGCGGCGUGCUUAACACAUGCAAGUCGAACGGAAAGGCCCUGCUUUUGUGGGGUGCUCGAGUGGCGAACGGGUGAGUAACACGUGAGUAACCUGCCCUUGACUUUGGGAUAACUUCAGGAAACUGGGGCUAAUACCGGAUAGGAGCUCCUGCUGCAUGGUGGGGGUUGGAAAGUUUCGGCGGUUGGGGAUGGACUCGGGGCUUAUCAGCUUGUUGGUGGGGUAGUGGCUUACCAAGGCUUGGGCGGGUAGCCGGCCUGAGAGGGUGACCGGGGACGGUGGGACGGAGGGAGGGCGCAGAGGGCGACGGGAGGCAGCAGUGGGGAAUAGUGCGCAAGGGGCGGAAGCCUGAUGCAGCGACGCCGCGGGCGGGAUGACGGCCUUCGGGUUGUAAACCGCUUUCGGCUGGGACGAAGCGUGAGUGACGGUAAUGGGUAAAGAAGCACCGGCUAACUACGUG